MAAUACGACUCUCGGCAACGGAUAUCUCGGCUCUCGCAUCGAUGAAGAACGUAGCGAAAUGCGAUACUUGGUGUGAAUUGCAGAAUCCCGUGAACCAUCGAGUCUUUGAACGCAAGUUGCGCCCGAAGCCGUCAGGCCGAGGGCACGUCUGCCUGGGCGUCACG
rnacentral:rRNA from 1 species